ACAGAUGUUAUCUCAUCUAAGUUAUGUUCAGUAUUGAACUUUAUGUCUUUUCAGUACAUGUUUCCAUAUUAUUCAUUAUUAUAUGCAGUAUACAGGUACAAAUAUCAUUAAUGGGUCAGCUUGUGGUCCUUCGGGGUCAUGAUCACCGUGUAGCAUUCUGGUUCAGCAAAUUGGGGUGUUACAUGAUCAUUCGGUCCUUUUUCCAAGUGUCCUAUCC
rnacentral:lncRNA from 1 species